rnacentral:rRNA from 1 species
AGUGAACGCUGGCGGUAGGCCUAACACAUGCCAGUCGGACGGCAGCACAGUAAGAGCUUGCUCUUACGGGUGGCGAGUGGCGGACGGGUGAGGAAUACAUCGGAAUCUACUUUUUCGUGGGGGAUAACGUAGGGAAACUUACGCUAAUACCGCAUACGACCUACGGGUGAAAGCAGGGGAUCUUCGGACCUUGCGCGAUUGAAUGAGCCGAUGUCGGAUUAGCUAGUUGGCGGGGUAAAGGCCCACCAAGGCGACGAUCCGUAGCUGGUCUGAGAGGAUGAUCAGCCACACUGGAACUGAGACACGGUCCAGACUCCUACGGGAGGCAGCAGUGGGGAAUAUUGGACAAUGGGCGCAAGCCUGAUCCAGCCAUACCGCGUGGGUGAAGAAGGCCUUCGGGUUGUAAAGCCCUUUUGUUUGGAAAGAAAAGCAGCAGGUUAAUACCCCGCUGUUCUGACGGUACCCAAAGAAUAAGCACCGGCUAACUUCGUG